GACAGAGGGUGCAAGCGUUGUUCGGAAUUACUGGGCGUAAAGCGCGUGUAGGCGGCUGCGUGUGUCGGGCGUGAAAUCCCAUGGCUCAACCAUGGAAGUGCACCCGAAACUGCGUAGCUAGAGUCCUGGAGAGGAAGGUGGAAUGCUUGGUGUAGAGGUGAAAUUCGUAGAUAUCAAGCGGAACACCGGUGGCGAAGGCGGCCUUCUGGACAGUGACUGACGCUGAGACGCGAAAGCGUGGGGAGCAAACAGG
rnacentral:rRNA from 1 species